AGUACGUGAAACCGUCUAGCGGUAAAGAGAGGGGUUCUCGAAGUUUCUGAGGGGGACUCAACCUUGGUGGUGCUUGGCCUGGGCGUAUUUGAUCAGCAAUGACUUUGCGUUUAGUCCCGUGUGCCUCCCGGACGCACUUUCUCCUCAGUUUACGGCAGGAACCGUUAGUUGUGGACUGAAGGCCCAGGGUGAAGUUGUCGGUUAUGCUGGCAGCCCUUGGUGUCCUAGCUUCGCGGCUGACGGGUAUGUAAGCGAACUCGUAUAGCGAGCAAUUCUCUAUUGCGGUUUGCAUUUCUCUGCCGAGUAGGUCGGUGGCCCCUCUCACCCGUCUUGAAACACGGA
rnacentral:rRNA from 1 species